rnacentral:rRNA from 1 species
UGAGGAAUAUUGCGCAAUGGGGGCAACCCUGACGCAGCAACGCCGCGUGAGUGAGGAAGGUUUUCGGACCGUAAAGCUCUGUCGAGCGGGAAGAAAUGCAUAGUGGCUAAUAUCCAUUAUGCUUGACGGUACCGCUAAAGGAAGCACCGGCUAACUCCGUGCCAGCAGCCGCGGUAAUACGGGGGGUGCUAGCGUUGUUCGGAAUCAUUGGGCGUAAAGAGCGUGUAGGCGGCUGGAUAAGUCAGAUGUGAAAGCCCUGGGCUUAACCUAGGAAGUGCAUUUGAAACUGUUCAGCUUGAGUAAGGGAGAGGAAAGUGGAAUUCCUGGUGUAGAGGUGAAAUUCGUAGAUAUCAGGAGGAACACCGGUGGCGAAGGCGACUUUCUGGCCCUAUACUGACGCUGAGACGCGAGAGCGUGGGUAGCAAACAGG